AAGAGCAGCAGAAACACGGACGCCUGGAAGCAGUGUCCAUACUAGCGGAGUCGAGGCUCUGCCUCACUCGAUCCUGGAGGUUCUACGUCAUGGACCGAAAUUUGCCGUCGAGCCGAGGACUUCUACACCGGAACUACUGGCAAUGGUGCGACGAGUUGCGCGCGCAGGGCCAGAGUCUGAAAGUGCCAGGUGCCUGUCCGACGGAGUCGACGUGGUUGCCCGUUGCAAAAUGGAAUGUGCGCAACAACUGCCCAAGGCCUGUGUAUAUCCGAAAAUGUGCUGUUGCCCUCAGUCAUGGCCCUAUUAUCUGAGAAAAGAACGGUGGUGGUAUAACAACAAAACACGGAAAUGCGAGACGUUCGAAGGAGGCUAUGACGACUGCAACAACUUCGAAAAUGAAGAUGAGUGCAACAGACACUGCGGCCCCCUGGUACGAAAGCCAUGCUGAGAAGGAAGGAACUGGAGUGGGUUGUUUUUUGACAUUGGCACUACGUGCAUAUCCUAGCUGAGCAAUACUUCCACUGAAGCAUGGCCCAAAUCAAUGCAUUUGUGGUUACGGUUGUAUGGAACAGGUAUAGAAAUAAAUUGUUUACAAUCAC